ACGAAAAACUCGGGUUAUUCUACGAUAAAAUACACUUGGGAACUUAUUAUUUCGAUUCUAACACGACAUACUAGUAUCAACAGUGUUAGAAAAUAUGGUAACUACUUUUUACGACCGUGCUACGCACCUGGUUCGGAUGACAUCAUUGCAUGCGAGUGGUUUAUCGCAGAAUAACCAGAGAUAGAUUUUGCUCUACAUGUAUGUGGGUGAUUUGCUGGUCGUGUUAGAAUACAGGAUAGCAGAUAUAUUGAUACACAUACAGAAACAUGAAGCACCCAUACAGAAACAUGAAGCACCCGUCAGUUUCUUAGAAACUCCUUACUUAAGGUAGAGGACUCGUGUUGGAAAGGUCAGUGUUGAUGUAAACAACAGGUUAAGUAAUUCGACAUUAUGAUAUCUGCAACUGAUAGUAAUUUAAUACAUUACAUUUACUGGCAGUGAUCAUUACAACUAUUUAUAUAUGUAUUUGACGAUAUUGGCAUGUUUUUGGGGAAAUAUUAUCCUUUUCCGGACCUUUAUAGUGGCUUUAAUUAAAUUCACUGCUUGGAGCAUUGAGCUGCAUGGUAUCAUGUUUUGUCAGAUGAUUUCAUAUUACAUUGCAUUGCAACAAGUUUUUCAAUGCAUCAUUUUAUAUGUUUAAAUGGAUGGCAUGAAGGUUUUUUGUUGAAUGGUUUCAAAAUGCAAUUUGUUCAGUGCAAAUUUAUUGGACAGGAUGGUGUUUUAGACUAGACAGCAUUAAAAUGCUCUGCACUGGCUGUCUUGUUAAUGGAUGGAAUGUAUAUUUGCCAAUUUUGGCGGUAACUGUUGCCAAUAUGUUAUACAGUGUCGAAAUCAUUCUUGGUAUGAAUGUUUUAAACAUUUUAACAUUGAUUACAGAAGUACAGAUUUACUGAAGAUGAUUUAACCAAAUUUAUGAGACGAAGAUCUUAGAAUUGAAUUUUUUGUUUAAAUAAACCCUUCAAAAUUGUGUGAACUUGAUUCCUUGAUGGAAGUGCUGUCUUGAAAUAUGUACCUUUUUGUCUUGCAAUAUCUAUACUAUUACGUGUUGUAAGUAUUCCUUCAUGUACAUAUUAGUGUAUCAGAAAGUGUAUAAAUUUAAACCCUAUAAAAUAUGUUAUUGUUUUUUAUAUGAAUAAACUAACACUGAAUAAAACA
rnacentral:lncRNA from 1 species